rnacentral:snoRNA from 1 species
AGAACCUUACUUGAACAGGACCUGUUCUAUAGGCUCGUACCACUAUAUCCAUGAGUUCUCGGGAGAAAGGAAACCAAGUCUAGUGGAUGAUCGUUCUCAGCCCCCAACCAUGGGUGCUGGCAUGGUCUAAUGGCUUCUGACAGACU